UACAGAGGUCUCAAGCGUUGUUCGGAUUCAUUGGGCGUAAAGGGUGCGUAGGCGGCGCGGUAAGUCGGGUGUGAAAUCUCGGAGCUUAACUCCGAAACUGCAUUCGAUACUGCCGUGCUUGAGGACUGGAGAGGAGACUGGAAUUUACGGUGUAGCGGUGAAAUGCGUAGAUAUCAGGAGGAACACCGGUGGCGAAGGCGACCACCUGGACUGAUACUGACACUGAGGUGCGAAAGCGUGGGGAGCAAACAGG
rnacentral:rRNA from 1 species